GAUGAACGCUGGCGGCGUGCCUAAUACAUGCAAGUCGAGCGAACGGACGAGAAGCUUGCUUCUCUGAUGUUAGCGGCGGACGGGUGAGUAACACGUGGAUAACCUACCUAUAAGACUGGGAUAACUUCGGGAAACCGUAGCUAAUACCGGAUAAUAUUUUGAACCGCAUGGUUCAAAAGUGAAAGACGGUCUUGCUGUCACUUAUAGAUGGAUCCGCGCUGCAUUAGCUAGUUGGUAAGGUAACGGCUUACCAAGGCAACGAUGCAUAGCCGACCUGAGAGGGUGAUCGGCCACACUGGAACUGAGACACGGUCCAGACUCCUACGGGAGGCAGCAGUAGGGAAUCUUCCGCAAUGGGCGAAAGCCUGACGGAGCAACGCCGCGUGAGUGAUGAAGGUCUUCGGAUCGUAAAACUCUGUUAUUAGGGAAGAACAUAUGUGUAAGUAACUGUGCACAUCGUGACGGUACCUAAUCAGAAAGCCGCGGCUAACUACGUG
rnacentral:rRNA from 1 species